GGGUAUGGCAGGCCUCUGUAGCCGCAGGCUCCUGCUGCUCUGGGCUGGAAUCGUUGCUUUGGCUACUUGCAAUCAAACAACUGCUGGACCAUCCCCACCAUCUCCACCGUGUUCUUACCAAGUCCAGCUCAUCCCAGGUGGUUUCCAGAUUAACAUGAUGAAUUCUCCCGCUGGAAACUACAAUAUUACCAUUACUGAAAACAACCAAGCAGUGAUACAAGAAAAUGUUUUUGUCUCCAAUGAAACCUCA